AAGAAAUAAAAACAAAGCAAAAGAAAGGAAAGAAACAGAAUAGAAGAGACGAAACAGGGGAGAAACAGGGGAGAAAGAAGAAAAAGAAGAAAAAAGGGAAAAUAGGGUUUUUGAAGCUUGAAAUUUAAAUUGGUAAGUCAAAUUAGCCCUUUUCUCUUAAUUCUAAUGUUCUAAAAGCUUUAAAACAAAGUUUUGAUGGAAUUAAGUUGAUAUUUUGUAAGUUCAUAGGUUUUCAAGUAUAGUUUAUGUUGAACAAAAGAGAUGAAUUAGGGAUUAACUUGAAGGAAUUUUAAGUUAGAAUUGAAAAAGGGAUUAAAUUGUAAAAGAAACUAUAAGUUUUAUGUUUUAGGGACUAAAUUGAGGGAAAUUCAAAAUUAGCAAAAUAUGCUGAAAUUUUGAUAGUUAAAUUUUAGUUUGGAUGAAAUUUGAAUAGAAAUAGAGUGUGAAUUGAAUUAGGAAAGUAAGUGAAUUUAGUUAGGAUUAAAUUGAGAAUUAGGAAGAAAUUGAAUAGAAAUUCAAUUAUUUAUUAUAAUUAUAAUUAGUGCUGUAAUUAAUAUUACAAGUUAUUAUUAUUUUCGUAGCUAACAAAGAACCCGAGGCAUCAGCGUCAAAAGGAAAGGAGAAAGUUAUCGAGGACUAAAACGGGAGAAUAACGGUUUGUAUUACUAUAAUUCAAAUUAUUUAUUUUUAAAUGUUAAAUUUUAAUUUAUGUGUCUAGUAAAUGAAAUGUGAGGUAAGUAUUAAUAUUAGUAUUAGUAUUAUUAUUAGUAUUAUUAUUAUUAUUAUGAGUGGGAAUUAAAUUGAAUAGUUGAUAUGAAAUAAUAUUUGAAUUGUUUGUUGAUUGAAAGCGGGAAAUGAAUUUGAAUCGAAUUGUGAAUGGUAUUAAAUUGUAUGGAAAUGUAUUGAGUUGUGAAAAUGUGUGAAGUUGUGAAAUAAUUAUUGAUUGAAAGGUGGAAAAAUGAUUGAAUUGAAAAUGUGAAAAAUUGUAAUUGAAUUGAGAAUAUAUGUGAUUUAAAUACCCUAUUAACUAGUCGGGCUGAGUCGGAUAUAGUUGGCAUGCCAUAGGAUUGGAAGAGUUCAGGGAUACUUCGACCUCGAGUCGAUGAGACACUGGGUGUCACUAUAUUUAUUCGGAUAGAUUCGAUGAGGUACUGGGUACCAACUUUCUUCGGCUUUGCCGAUGAGACACUGGGUGUCAACUAUUGCUUCGAACUAUCCGAUGAGGCACUGGGUGCCAUUCUGGUGUGUUUGGUUGGAUCCGUGUAUCCGCCAAAGUCCGAGUUUUGUUAAUAGGGUAAAUGAUGAAAUGAUAAACCGAACGAGUUGGUCAAACGAGCUAUUGAAAUGAUAUGAAAAAGUUGAAUUGUGAAUUGAAAUGUGAAAUGAGAUUGAGAAAUGAACCUAAGGUUCGUGAAUUAUUCAAACUCAAAUUGUGGAUAUACGAUAUUGGUUGAUGAAUUGCUAUUGUUGAAAUAUUUAAUUUAAAUUGUAUAUACGAUUUAUGCAUUACAUGUACAUUAUUGUUAUAAUUUGAAUUAUGGUAAUACCACUGAGUAUGAAUUACUCAGCGUACGGUUGUUUCCGUGAGCAGGUCAAUAGAAGUCAAAGGUCCCGGUUCAGCAUCCAGAUUAAUCCCGGCUUCGGCAAAACUUGGUGAUGUAUUUUUCCUUUGGUAAAGGUGGCAUGUACAUAGAUUGUGUAUAAAGGUUAUUAUGUUUUAUUA
rnacentral:lncRNA from 1 species